rnacentral:rRNA from 1 species
GAGACCCUACGGGACGCAGCAGUAGGGAAUCUUCCACAAUGGGCGAAAGCCUGAUGGAGCAACGCCGCGUGGGUGAAGAAGGUCUUCGGAUCGUAAAACCCUGUUGUUAGAGAAGAAAGUGCGUGAGAGUAACUGUUCACGUUUCGACGGUAUCUAACCAGAAAGUCACGGCUAACUACGUGCCAGCAGCCGCGGUAAUACGUAGGUGGCAAGCGUUAUCCGGAUUUAUUGGGCGUAAAGGGAGCGCAGGCGGUCUUUUAAGUCUGGUGUGAAAGCCUUCGGCUUAACCGGAGUAGUGCAUUGGA